CAUGCAAGUCGAGGGGUAUGGUUCUUCGGAACCAGAGACCGGCGCACGGGUGCGUAACGCGUAUGCAAUCUGCCUUUCACAGAGGGAUAGCCCAGAGAAAUUUGGAUUAAUACCUCAUAGUAUAGCGACAUCGCAUGAUGAUGCUAUUAAAGUCACAACGGUGAAAGAUGAGCAUGCGUCCCAUUAGCUAGUUGGUAAGGUAACGGCUUACCAAGGCAACGAUGGGUAGGGGUCCUGAGAGGGAGAUCCCCCACACUGGUACUGAGACACGGACCAGACUCCUACGGGAGGCAGCAGUGAGGAAUAUUGGUCAAUGGGCGCAAGCCUGAACCAGCCAUGCCGCGUGCAGGAUGACGGUCCUAUGGAUUGUAAACUGCUUUUGCACAGGAAGAAACACUGAUUCGUGAAUCAGCUUGACGGUACUGUGAGAAUAAGGAUCGGCUAACUCCGUGCCAACAGCCGCGGUAAUACGGAGGAUCCAAGCGUUAUCCGGAAUCAUUGGGUUUAAAGGGUCCGUAGGCGGUCUGGUAAGUCAGUGGUGAAAGCCCAUCGCUCAACGGUGGAACGGCCAUUGAUACUGCUGGACUUGAAUUAUUAGGAAGUAACUAGAAUAUGUAGUGUAGCGGUGAAAUGCUUAGAGAUUACAUGGAAUACCAAUUGCGAAGGCAGGUUACUACUAAUGGAUUGACGCUGAUGGACGAAAGCGUGGGUAGCGAACAGGAUUAGAUUCCCUGGUAGUCCACGCCGUAAACGAUGGAUACUAGCUGUUGGAAGCAAUUUCAGUGGCUAAGCGAAAGUGAUAAGUAUCCCACCUGGG
rnacentral:rRNA from 1 species